rnacentral:rRNA from 1 species
CACGUAGGGGGCGAGCGUUGUCCGGAAUUACUGGGCGUAAAGGGUGCGUAGGCGGUCUGUUAAGUCAGAUGUGAAAGACCUGGGCUCAACCCGGGAUGUGCAUCUGAGACUGGCGGACUUGAGUGCAGGAGAGGGAAGUGGAAUUUCUAGUGUAGCGGUGGAAUGCGUAGAUAUUAGGAAGAACACCAGUGGCGAAGGCGGCUUCCUGGACUGUAACUGACGCUGAGGCACGAAAGCGUGGGGAGCGAACAGGAUUAGAUACCCUGGUAGUCCACGCCGUAAACGAUGGAUACUAGGUGUAGGUAUCGUAGGAUAUCUGUGCCGGAGUUAACGCAAUAAGUAUCCCGCCUGGGGAGUACGGCCGCAAGGUUGAA